AAAGAAAAAAAUUGUAUUUUUCAUUGCUGAAACUGGUCUCAAAUGGAUUUAUACUGACAGAAGACAAUUAAUAAAAUGAUGUAUUAAAUGUUUUUGGCAGUAAAUCUUUAUUAUUUUAGAAUAUCCUGCAAGAAAUAUCAGUUGGAAAUCAACAGAUUUCCAAUAUGCUGUUACCACUGUCUACCAGUUUUGACCCAGAGGAUCCAACUUAGGUAGCAAAGUUCUCACUAAAAUAACCAUCAUUCUUUGACACUCAUUUCAGCAGCCUUUCCACUUACAAUGAGCACAAUGACAGAAUUUGCGAAUGCUACAUUUUUUUAUUACUCACAAAGGGUAAAGUAUCAAUAGGGGCCACACUUUAUAAGUGCUGCCAAGUGUCACAGCUCUAUCUCAAAGGACCUCUAUGAUUUCAAUACUGCUCAAAUGGGACAGUAAUGCUAUUAUUCAUCAUGAGGAAAGAUACUAUCUGAAGAAUUUAAAAUCACCUGGUCUCCAAGUUUAAUAGAUUUUGAAGCUGUGAAUUUUGUUCAACUUGGUAACAAAAUGCAGACAUUAUUUUGUAGGUCCAAAUUGUCAAAUGACUCAAAGAGCCACAACUUUGGUUGCUGACUGCUGUUGGUUUCAAAUGGGUUUUGCUCACUUCUCUGCUUAAGAAGUGACAGCUGCACUGACUUUACAAGAACAGUCAAUGCAACUUAAUAACAAAGAAUUUAACAAAAGAUAAUCAUCAGGAACCUGACAUUCUCCCUCUAAUAUUUAUCAUGAACAAAACAUAACA